rnacentral:rRNA from 1 species
UUGAACGCUGGCGGCAUGCUUUACACAUGCCAGUCGAACGGCAGCGCGGGCUUCGGCCUGGCGGCGAGUGGCGAACGGGUGAGUAAUGCAUCGGAACGUGCCCAGUAGUGGGGGAUAGCCCGGCGAAAGCCGGAUUAAUACCGCAUACGACCUGAGGGUGAAAGCGGGGGACCGAAAGGCCUCGCGCUAUUGGAGCGGCCGAUGUCGGAUUAGCUAGUUGGGGGGGUAAAGGCUUACCAAGGCGACGAUCCGUAGCUGGUCUGAGAGGACGACCAGCCACAGGGGGACGAAGCCCGGCCCAGGCCCCUGAGGGGGGGAAGAGGGGGGGAUUUUGGGACAGGGGGGGCACCCUGGACCCGCCAUGGCGGGGGGGGGAAGAGGGCCUUGGGGUUUGAAACCGCUUUUGGUGGGGAAAAAACCCCUGGGGGUAAUUCCCCGGGGGGGAGGAGGUACCAGAAAAAAAAACCCCGGCUAAACUCC